rnacentral:rRNA from 1 species
CCUACGGGAGGCAGCAGUGAGGAAUAUUGGUCAAUGGACGAGAGUCUGAACCAGCCACGUAGCGUGAAGGAUGACUGCCCUAUGGGUUGAAAACUUCUUUUAUAUGGGAAUAAAAUGUUCCACGUGUGGGAUUUUGUAUGUACCAUAUGAAUAAGGAUCGGCUAACUCCGUGCCAGCAGCCGCGGUAAUACGGAGGAUCCGAGCGUUAUACGGAUUUAUUGGGGUUAAAGGGAGCGUAGGUGGAUUGUUAAGUCAGGUGGGAAAGUUUGCGGCUCAACCGUAAAAUUGCAGUUGAAACUGGAAGUCGUGAGUGAAGUAGAGGUGGGCGGAAUUCGUGGUGUAGCGGUGAAAUGCUUAGAUAUCACGAAGAACUCCGAUGGCGAAGGCAGCUCACUGGACUGCAACUGACACUGAGGCUCGAAAGUGUGGGUAUCAAACAGGAUUAGAUACCCGGGUAGUC